rnacentral:rRNA from 1 species
CAGUAGCCGCGGGAAUACGUAGGUGGCAAGCGUUGUCCGGAAUUAUUGGGCGUAAAGGGCUCGCAGGCGGUUUCUUAAGUCUGAUGUGAAAGCCCCCGGCUCAACCGGGGAGGGUCAUUGGAAACUGGGAAACUUGAGUGCAGAAGAGGAGAGUGGAAUUCCACGUGUAGCGGUGAAAUGCGUAGAGAUGUGGAGGAACACCAGUGGCGAAGGCGACUCUCUGGUCUGUAACUGACGCUGAGGAGCGAAAGCGUGGGGAGCGAAUAGGAUUAGAGACCCCGGUAGUCCCUGUCUCUUAUAC